AGAACUAAUAGUUCGAUAGGUAGAAUGAUAGGGUAACGCCUUGAAAUGCCUUCCUUGAUACUUCGGAUAGCGUUAAUGAAUUGUAUAUAAGUUAAUGUUAUAAGCCCGAUGAAGUCGGCUGAAAUCUAUCCUAACGGAGAGGUGAUGAACGUGACAGGCGUUGAUGUGACACUUCACUGAGCCGAGGCAAGUGUCCUAGAGGUAGGAUAUGUAGAUGAUAGGUCGGAGGUCUAUAAA
rnacentral:ncRNA from 1 species